UGCAGUCGAACGGUGAUGAUGGGGCUUGCCCUGUCUGAUCAGUGGCGAACGGGUGAGUAACACGUGAGUAACCUGCCCCUGACUCUGGGAUAACCGUGGGAAACGACGGCUAAUACCGGAUAUGAGACGUCCACGCAUGUGGAGCGUCUGGAAAGAUUUAUUGGUCUGGGAUGGACUCGCGGCCUAUCAGCUUGUUGGUGGGGUAAUGGCCUACCAAGGCGACGACGGGUAGCCGGCCUGAGAGGGCGACCGGCCACACUGGGACUGAGAUACGGCCCAGACUCCUACGGGAGGCAGCAGUGGGGAAUAUUGCACAAUGGGCGAAAGCCUGAUGCAGCGACGCCGCGUGGGGGAUGAAGGCCUUCGGGUUGUAAACCCCUUUCAGCAGGGAAGAAGCGAAAGUGACGGUACCUGCAGAAGAAGCGCCGGCUAACUACGUGCCAGCAGCCGCGGUAAUACGUAGGGCGCAAGCGUUGUCCGGAAUUAUUGGGCGUAAAGAGCUCGUAGGCGGUUUGUCGCGUCUGCUGUGAAAUCCUGAGGCUCAACCUCGGGCUUGCAGUGGGUACGGGCAGACUAGAGUGCGGUAGGGGUGACUGGAAUUCCUGGUGUAGCGGUGGAAUGCGCAGAUAUCAGGAGGAACACCGAUGGCGAAGGCAGGUCACUGGGCCGCAACUGACGCUGAGGAGCGAAAGCAUGGGGAGCGAACAGGAUUAGAUACCCUGGUAGUCCAUGCCGUAAACGUUGGGCACUAGGUGUGGGGCUCAUUCCACGAGUUCCGUGCCGCAGCAAACGCAUUAAGUGCCCCGCCUGGGGAGUACGGCCGCAAGGCUAAAACUCAAAGGAAUUGACGGGGGCCCGCACAAGCGGCGGAGCAUGCGGAUUAAUUCGAUGCAACGCGAAGAACCUUACCAAGGCUUGACAUACACCGGAAAAGUGCAGAGAUGUGCUCCCCGCAAGGUCGGUGUACAGGUGGUGCAUGGUUGUCGUCAGCUCGUGUC
rnacentral:rRNA from 1 species